UAAAACCGUUAUAGAUUCAUUUCUGUUAUACCAACGUUCGUUUGUAUGCAUAGGUCAUCAUUUUUCUUUUCAUUAUAGAAUCAAGCGAACUUUGGAAUCAACAUUCUAAAGCCGAAUGAAUGCUCUUGUCAAGGUCAUCUUCCGCGGAGCGGCUUGUGUAUUAUUAAGAUGCUGCAUUCUGUGAACAGUAGUGGUCUGUCUUGAGACCGAAAACUGAAGCACACCAGCAUUUCAUCAGUUUUCUUAAACGCAUGAUUUGUGAUCCACGCAUGCAGCAAGGUGGCACGUGGCCAUGUUGCCAUGAGAGACAAAGCAUCAGGGGUAUGUGUCAGAGCCUUUCCUGGAAGGAUUGAUUGACCUCAGUGUUUGAGAGAGAUGGAGAGAGUGAUGCUGUCCGUGAUCUCCUUCAGGCCCACCACAGAGCAACAGACUGGCCCACGUUGAACUACUGAAUUUGUGGAAUUGAACAGAGGCUGAGCGAGAGUGGGAGGCUUUUGUCCGCGUUUCUGAGCCCCGGAUUGUCAAAAAAAAGCCCUUUGAGAGCCGCGGCACGGUCCUCCUAUCUGCGACGGAAGCGCGGGCUGAGGGAUGAGACUCAGCCAGAGGGAACCGGCUAGCAAUUCAGCAGGGAAGAGAAUCAAGUCCAGUCACGAAACGGAAUGGAAAAGCUCCUGCUGCAACAGUAAUUUGCACUUUUCUGUGACAUGGAAUCCCCGCGCUUAACAUGUAUCUCAGAUAAUCUGUGCCGGCCAUGACAGGGCUGGAGAUGCCCCUGCCCAUCGGUGGGAGAGCAUUAAGCUGUCCUUUCAUUUGUCUGUGGACUUUGAUCAGAUGACUUAACUCUUUUACACAGGCUGUGUUUAAGGUCCAGUCAGGACCUUAGUAGCAGUCAGGCCCUCCAGGCUUUACUGGAGAACAGUUAUUUCCUGAACAUUAGAUAAAUGUGUAACCAAUGGCAGGAAACAGGCAAGUGUGACGCAAAUGAGUUUUUAUUUCCACUUGCCACAGUCAGAAAGAAUCCCGAAACAAGCAGACUGCCACCUUCGCAACACAACUCCUUUGUAUCAGCAAAUAAAAUAGAGACAGACCGAUUUGCACCCGCUGUGAAUCUUCACAAAAGGCUGUCCAUUCAGUUGCCGGUGAUGGAGGAUGCAGGCAUUCUCCUGCUGUGUCUGUGUGCCUUCUGCAUUAGCUGCAGCCUGUGCGCUAAAGAGAAGCUAAUUGGGAUGCACUCUUGCAGAAUGUGUCAUAGUGUGUCAUGUUCACGAGCUGACGCAGCGUUUAAAAGAAAAUGUGUAACCAUGGUGUUUUGGUGAUGAGACAUCAAAAUUAGUGGCACAAGCUAUGUUUGAAAGCAAUGUUUUGGUGUGAAUGCCCUAUUUUUAACAAUUAAGGCAUCUGAUAGUUCUAAAUCUACUUUGGUCAAAUUGAAUGCACAGCAACUUUCACCUUUCCAGGUAAAAAAUUGUUAUUACAUUAACAAACUGAAACUGAAACGCAGUUACAUUAAAUACACAUAUAUUGUAUAUUUUAGCUGUACAUGCAGGACAUUGAUAAUUUCAUGAAUUUAUCAUCAGGGUUACAACGUGCAUUAAAUUGCUGCAGAACAUAUUAUUUUGUUAAGUUUCCAUGUUGUUUCUUGCUUAAUGUAUUGAUUUUGCUGAAUUAUUAUAACCACAAGAA